AGUGAACGCUGGCGGUAGGCCUAACACAUGCAAGUCGAACGGCAGCACAGUAAGAGCUUGCUCUUACGGGUGGCGAGUGGCGGACGGGUGAGGAAUACAUCGGAAUCUACUUUUUCGUGGGGGAUAACGUAGGGAAACUUACGCUAAUACCGCAUACGACCUACGGGUGAAAGCAGGGGAUCUUCGGACCUUGCGCGAUUGAAUGAGCCGAUGUCGGAUUAGCUAGUUGGCGGGGUAAAGGCCCACCAAGGCGACGAUCCGUAGCUGGUCUGAGAGGAUGAUCAGCCACACUGGAACUGAGACACGGUCCAGACUCCUACGGGAGGCAGCAGUGGGGAAUAUUGGACAAUGGGCGCAAGCCUGAUCCAGCCAUACCGCGUGGGUGAAGAAGGCCUUCGGAUUGUAAAGCCCUUUUGUCGGGAAAGAAAAGCAGCAGGUUAAUACCCCGCUGUUCUGACGGUACCCAAAGAAUAAGCACCGGCUAACUUCGUG
rnacentral:rRNA from 1 species